rnacentral:rRNA from 1 species
GGAAUAUUGCACAAUGGAGGAAACUCUGAUGCAGCAACGCCGCGUGGAGGAUGACGCAUUUCGGUGUGUAAACUCCUUUUAAGAGGGAAGAUAAUGACGGUACCUCUUGAAUAAGCACCGGCUAACUCCGUGCCAGCAGCCGCGGUAAUACGGAGGGUGCAAGCGUUACUCGGAAUCACUGGGCGUAAAGGGUGCGUAGGCUGGCUUCUAAGUCAGAUGUGAAAUCCAAUGGCUUAACCAUUGAACUGCAUUUGAAACUGUUAGUCUAGAGUAUGGGAGGGGGAGAUGGAAUUAGUGGUGUAGGGGUAAAAUCCGUAGAUAUCACUAGGAAUACCUAAAGCGAAGGCGAUCUCCUGGAACAUUACUGACGCUAAGGCGUGAAAGCGUGGGGAGCAAACAG